rnacentral:rRNA from 1 species
GUUGGAUUUCUGUUAAUAAUUUAUAUAAAAUAUUUUGAUGAAUAUUUAUAUAAUAUUAACAUAAUUCAUAUUACUAUAUAUUUUAGUAUAUGAAAUUUUACUUUGAGAAAAUUAGAGUGCUUAAAGCAGGCAUAUGCCUUGAAUACUCCAGCAUGGAAUAAUAUUAAAGAUUUUUAUCUUUCUUAUUGGUUCUAAGAUAAGAAUAAUGAUUAAUAGGGACAGUUGGGGGCAUUUGUAUUUAACAGUCAGAGGUGAAAUUCUUAGAUUUGUUAAAGACAAACUAAUGCGAAAGCAUUUGCCAAGGAUGUUUUCAUUAAUCAAGAACGAAAGUUAGGGGAUCGAAGACGAUCAGAUACCGUCGUAGUCUUAACCAUAAACUAUGCCAACUAAAGAUUGGAGGUUGUUCCUUACUC